CCGCCCUCCGGGUGAGCUGGAAUUGCCUGGGUAAGAGAGAGUGUGGCCGAGCUAAGGAGAGAGCAGGGGCCCAUGCUGAGCUGGGGAGCAGAGCUGUGCUAGCCAGAGAAGCAAAGAAGCAACCCAGAGAGCAGAGUCCACAACCUCCCUGGGCAAUUUAUUCCAAUGCUUAACUACCCUGACUGGUAGAGAAUGUUUCCUAAUGUCCAACCUGAACCACACAGCCUGCAAUGGAAGCCGAUUGCUUCUUGUCCUUUCCUGGGGCUAAGGAGAACAACCGAUCGCCCCUCCUCUAGGCUUCCUGAACGGAUCCCCUGAGCAGGAGAGCAGAGUUACAACGGAAACGUUGGACAAGGACAGUUAGCAGUCCUACUGCACAGUCUGCUGCCAGCAGCACCCAGGAGGACCAGAACGGAUCCCCUGAGCUCAUCGCUGGGGAGCAGGAGAGCAGAGUUGCAGCGGAAGCGGUGAAGCCAUCAGAGCCGCCUGGGGGGGGGGGGGGGGGCGGGCGGAAGUGGGGCAAUUUGCCCCAGGGCGCCACGAGAAUGUCAGAGGCUCCCCCACACCUUUGGCUUCCCCAUCCCCCAGCGCCUCAGCACAUCAUGUCCAGGAGCAACCCUGGACAGCGCUGCAGCGGCGUGGCUUGGGCGGGGCCUGAGGUCCUCCUGCUUGGAGCCAUGUGGUAAGGGGGUGGGGCUGCAAGCUCCGGCAGGCUGAGUGGCAGGAGCUCCUGGAUGCG